rnacentral:misc_RNA from 1 species
UCACAAAGAUUAACUAAGGAUAAUGAUAAAGUCUGAUUUCUAUUUAAAUAGGAGUAUUGGACAGACACUAACUCAAGAAAAUUACUUUUUAAAUGGGUUUUCCAACUUUCUGGGCAAAAAAAAGGGCUACCUCAGUAAUGAGGUAGCCCUUUAUAUAUCUCAC